GCAUUGGUGGGUCAGUAGUGGAAUUCUCACCUUCCAUGUGAGAGACCCAGGUUCGAUUCCUAGACAACGCG
rnacentral:tRNA from 1 species